rnacentral:rRNA from 1 species
AGGUCUUGACAUCAUACCUUGCAAAGCUAUAGAGAUAUAGUAGAGGUUAACAAGGAUACAGGUGGUGCAUGGUUGUCGUCAGUUCGUGUCGUGAGAUGUUUUGGUUAAGUUUAGCAACGAACGCAACCCUUGUCCUUAGUUGCCAGCAUUAAGUUGGGGACUCUAAGGAGACUGCUAGUGUAAGCUAGAGGAAGGUGGGGAUGACGUCAAAUCAUCAUGCCCCUUAUGACCUUGGGCUACACACGUACUACAAUGGCUGAUACAAAGAGUCGCUAAACCGCGAGGUCAAGCAAAUCUCAAAAAGUCAGUCUCUCAGUCCGGAUUGAAGUCUGCAACUCGACUUCAUGAAGUCGGAAUCGCUAGUAAUCACGAAUCAACAAUGUCGCGGUGAAUACGUUCUCGGGUC